AACUACUUUUCUAUUCUACAUUUUACUGUAGAAGUACUGUGUUAUAUAUGUGUAAUUCAACGACCUGUAAUGCAUUUAAAAUAUUUCUUCUCUGUACACCAUAUGUAAUUAUAUAGUAAUAUAACAAUAUAAUAUAUAACAUAUAUAAUAUGACUUAACAAUGCUUAACAACAGAAUAUUAAAGUCCAAGGAAGAAGAUUUGGUGUUGAUGGAGGAGGCAACAUCUUCAAGGCAAAACCUGUCAAAAUCACCCUUUAGGAGGCACUUGAAGACCAGUGCCCAAUAUGCACAGGAACAUUUCCAGUGUCAGAAGUAGACCUGCCAUGCCAGCUUUUGUGGAGACAGAUAAUGGUAAUAGUGACUCACACUGAAGUAGCAGUGACCCCCCUCCACUGGAACGUGAUUUGUACCGAGGGGGCCUGGGGUCUUGACGUUGCUUAGGGCCCACAAAGUGGUAAAGCCACCCCUGACCAGUUGGCUCUGGUGGUCAGACUUUGCAACUGUUAUGAACGUGCUGAAAAAUCGGGAACAUUUUACAGGAACAGCUCCAUUUAGGGUCAGAACACCAAAAACCCAGACUGUUCCUGGAGAACGGAGAGGUCUGGUAAUCCUAUUUUAAAGGCCAUUAAUAUACAGCUGAAUGAAAAUACCAGAAAUAUCACUCUCACUGCUACAGUGUAUUUACAUUAUUCUGUCUCUGAGUAUUAGAAUAUAUUAUAGCAGUAGACAAAAAAGUAAAAAGAAUGUGCUGUGAAAUGAGCUCUACAUGGAUGAAAUUAGAUUUGUAGCUUUCUCUAGAAAGUUUUUUUUUAUUAUUAUUAUUUUAUUUUCCUGUCUCAAAAAAAGUUCAUCAAUAUGAAGCUCCCUCAUGUGGAGACACAAGGACUAGACUCUUGUCUGAUGUUCUUUACAAUAAGAAGUGUUUUGCUGCCAUCUGCUGGAUGAAUUACACAUUACAGUAUUAAACACACAUCUACAGCUACAAAUGUCUUUGAUAUAAUGCCAAAUUAAUAUAUCUUUGGAAUAGAAAACAAUAUUUAUAUACAAAUGUUGUCUGAAUAGUCCUCUAUAAUGACCCAACAUUAUCUAAAUACUGCUGUUUACUUACUGUAUAUAUUAACAGUCUGCUCUCCUUUUGUUUUGCAAAAAAGUUCAAGACUGCAUUUCAUGAUGAUGUUACUAAUGAAAGUGGCCUAAAAGGUCAGUGACCUUUUUAAUUGUUCACAUGAUUCAUAACCAGAUGUUUAAUAAAGUCUCUUGAUCUGCAGCA
ensembl:lncRNA